AGCCUUGUGCGCAGCCGCAGUGAUACUCACUGAUCUGUCUCGAGGGAGAGCGAACCUGAUGUUGGACUUUGAUUUUGGUUACAGCAGUGGUAGAUGAGUGGAUCUAACUUCAUGGAAGGCUGACAAGUCCAGGAGAAGACAGUGAAUAGAGGGGACAAUACCAACAUUGAUACACUCAGUUGGAGUUCCACUGCUGGGGAUCUUUAGUGCCGUUUUAGGCGCCUUUAGAUUUCAUCAAUCAAACUGACUGCAAUUUUCCAUAAAAAUGCUGAAUUUGGGUCAGAAUCUGGGCAAAGCAGAUAAAGAUCAUUGAAGCUGUCUUGUGAAUGAUAAAUGGAGCGCCUUUCAGGCAAAUAAAACAAGAGUUUUAGUUUGGUUUCACUAUCAUUGAUUAUGGAUAUACUCGUUAUAUAUGUAUAUGUAUAUACAUUCCUUUGAUGCUGAUCUUUGUGCCCUGUUUGGCCUCCAGGAAAGCGUUUAAAUGACCAGUCCAGGCGCCUCGCUCCAAUCUUACGUGUUGGAAACUUUAUUCAUUUUGUUUAAGGUAAUUAAGAUUUAACCGCGAAGGUGCACUGGGCGGACGUGUUGCAACUUUAAACAGUUCUGAUCCAGAUGACAAUACUUCAUUGAAGCAUCCUUCUUAAAAUUGUUAGACAUUUUGCAUCGAAAGUUUUAGUUAUUCCGGCAUUCUUCGUUUGAAACAACUCAAUUGUAUCUUAUGUGUGUUUAAAUCUCCGAGAAAAUAAAGGACAAAAGAAGCCCGGACAUGAAUUAGAAUAAAGGGGUCAUCUUUUACAAAGUUUGAAACGAUUACCACGCUGCCAUAGAUAAUGACACACUAUAGCAACACGGUAUCAAUGAAUGUAAUCCCAGCUCCAAGUUUGUAUUCUUGUAGCUUAU